rnacentral:pre_miRNA from 1 species
UAGGUUUGUCCUAAGUCAAACUAUCUCAAGUUUGACCGGAUUUAUGGAGAAGGGUGUCAACAUCUAUGAUAUCAAAUAGGUAUACUAUGAAAACAUAUUUCAUGAUGAAUCUAAUGAUACCUAUUUGGUGUCAUAACUAUCGAUACAUUUUGAUAUAAAUUUGGUCAAACUUAGAAUGAUUUGACUUAGGACAAAACUAA